rfam:Myotis lucifugus cont2.31020, whole genome shotgun sequence.
UGCGGUUCUCGGGUGACGCACCCGGAACCAGAGAAGAGGGAGCCCGAUUCCUGGGUGCGUCACCCGAGAACCACC